UGGGUUGUAGCUCAGUGGUGGAGCGCUUGUCUAGCAUGUGCGAGGCCCUGGGUUCGAUUCUCAGCACCUCAU
rnacentral:tRNA from 1 species